GCCUGGGUGGCUUAGUUGGUUAAGCAUCCGACUUCUGCUCAGGUCAUGAUCUCACUGUUUGUGAGUUCAAGCCUCCCGUCAGGCU
rnacentral:tRNA from 1 species